AAAUUACAAUAUGUUUGCCAUAGAGCCUUUGGCAGCAGCCAUAAGGGGGAAGACUAACUUCCCAGAUGUUAUGGCAGGAGGCGUAGUGAACAAACGUAUGGUUAUU